rnacentral:lncRNA from 1 species
GAACACAGCAGGCUCGGCCACCUCAGGACCUUUGCAUGUGCUGUGCCUCCGUGUUCUUCUCCCGAUCCUCCCAGAAUUCUGCCCUAGGCAUCGGCCUCCACUCCAGCCUGCCAGGCCUCCCUGCCCUUCUCCGUGAGCAUCCUGUCCACUUCAUGGUGUUCCACAUUGAUACGGAUGCUGGCCUUCUCAUGGGGCUCCCCGAGGACAGACACCAGGUCACUCAUCACUGCCGUGUCCCCAGGGACCUCUGCCAGCAAGCACCAUGGAAGCAGCUCGAGCCAUUUGCAGCAUGGGUUCCUCCUGGGAGGGACCCACUGACCCGGGUCCCCAGCCCGUCCCUCCCAGUGUUGCCUCACAAGGUCCUCUCUGUGUCCUCAGCCCCACGGGGUGACCUGUCUGAGACGUGGUCAUGAAUCACUGGCCAGAAUCUGGUUGCAAUCAUCUCUUGGCUGGCCGUGGCCACCGAAUCAGGGAACCUAGGUGUCCUGCAAGACAGUGCCCAGGACUGGGGAGGCACCUGCGCCAGGGACCUGCUGGGUGGCCUUGGCAGGCCGCUGGCCUCCAGGUGGCACAGUCGGCCACCCACGGGGGUGGAGGAGCUGGUGGAGAUGGGGUCUUCAGCUGGGAUCCUUGGGAUGUGACUGAUUCUCAAGGGGACGGCUGGGGAGGGGGAGGUCCAGCGCGGCUGACCGUCCCCGUCUGAAGGCCAAGGGCCGGGUCUUGUGGGCAGGGCUGGGAGGAGCGGUGGGGGUGCCAGGUCAGCAGGUCCCACGGGGAGGCAGGCCUGGUGUCCCGAGGACUCCACCAAGAGGCCAGCCUGCAGAGGGAGGGGACGGCAGACCCGGCCUAGGACCCGAGGGCCUGAGGUUCACGAGUGUCCCUGGCUGGAGCUGCUUCCAGGGCACAGCCCACCAGGCCGGGUCCUCCCUGUGGGGAAGGGGCCAUGGGCUCCCAGGUCGCGGGAACCUGUGUCAGGGGUGCAGCCAUGUCACCCCUCUGGCUCUCUCGUGCUGUCCACCACGGUCAGAUGCCGCUGGACGGGCCGCAGCCUCCAGGUCCCAGCCUCCUCUCCACCAGCUGCCAGCUGACCUUGCGACACGCAGGCUGGAUCGUGACCCUGCGCUGCCCUCUGACCUCCCUGACUCCCACCCCUUGGGAACAGACUGACCCCCUCGCGACCUGGAGGACGCCUCAGAGACUGCCCGGCAGUGGGGUGCAGGGCCUGAGGGCCCACAGGCCCGGGGCCCAGCCCCUCCUGGCCUGGGGCGACGCAUGCACACAGGCUCCAGUCUGCCACUACCACUGUGACCUGGGCACGUGCCUGCUGUCCCCUGAGGCCCAAGCUCCCACCCACCAUGCAGGGCUGUUCACAGGUCACAGGAGGCCACCAGGCCCCUGGUGAUCUCCCUGAGGGGCGCCACUUGGCAGAGGGGGACACCACGGCCCAGGCUGGAGAAGGGACACGCCCAGGUGGGGCUGCUGGUCUUGCCUGAGGGGGCGCCUGCAGCCAAGGCCCUGCCCCCAGACCCCGCUGGCCUCCCUCCUGGCUCUCAGACCAGCCCGUCUGUCCUGUCUCUGGGCCUCUCUGGCUGUGGGCUGCCUCUUCCUACAGCCCUCCUGGGCCCCCGUUCCCUCCGGGCUCCAUAAAUAUUGACCCAGGUGAAGGUGUCUGGCCGCCUGGAUUGUUAGACCCCU